rnacentral:rRNA from 1 species
UACGUAGGGCGCAAGCGUUGUCCGGAAUUAUUGGGCGUAAAGAGCUCGUAGGCGGCCUGUCGCGUCCGCUGUGAAAUCCCGGGGCUUAACCCCGGGCGUGCAGUGGAUACGGGCUGGCUGGAGGCAGGCAGGGGAGAACGGAAUUCCCGGUGUAGCGGUGAAAUGCGCAGAUAUCGGGAGGAACACCAAUGGCGAAGGCAGCUCGCUGGGACGGUACUGACGCUGAGACGCGAAAGCGUGGGGAGCAAACAGG